rnacentral:lncRNA from 1 species
GAUACAAUUGAUUUGGAGCCGAAUUCAAAAGGAAAAACGGUAUUUGAGGCUUGAGUUGGCCGUGGAAGUUUGAGGUAAGUGAUUGGUCUAACCUUAGCUUGAGGGAUUAAGAGUUGUGUCCUAUUUGCUACAUGUUAUUUGUUGAGUACGACUUAUAGACAUGGUGAUGUGUAUCUAUACGUUGGUGUGGAGAAUGACCGUGAGUCUUAAAUUGAAAUUGUUGUGUUCUUAAUAAUUACUACGAAUGCCUAAGUUGUUGAUUCUUUGUGUUGACCAAAGAUCAUGGUUAUUUUAGUGGAAAAUACUUAAUAUUGAGUAUUAGUGUUAGUUGAGGUAGUUAGAUGUUGGAAUGAGUUUGGUUAGAGCUAUUUUGCCUUUGUCGAGACGUAUUUAUUUAUAUUGUCGAUUCCCUUGCCGGGAUAGUGUAGUUCUUUAUUAAUCCCUUGCCGGGACUUUUGUUAUGAUUGUUGUUGAUUGUAUAUGUGGAUCGGGUUGCGCGCCGCAACAAUGAUAUAUUUGGAUCGGGUUGCACGCCGCAACAAUAUUAUAUGUCGAUCAAGCUGCACGCCGCAACAAUGAUAUAAUCGGAUCGGGUUGCACGCUGCAACAAUAAUAUAAUCAGAUCGAGUUGCACGACGCAACAAUGAUAAAUGGUAUAGAUCUGGUUGCACGCCGCAACAGUGUUGUUAUGUGUUGGAAUCGGGUUGCGUACCGCAACAAUUGAUGAUACAAAGUGUUUAUAGAGUGGUUACGAGUUCCUUAUUGUUUUGCUGUGAAUUCUAAGCUGUCCUUAUGCCUUUUUUUCUUGAUUUACUGUUGAUAUUGAUAUUUCCCCCCAGUAUGUACCCCUCCCAUCUUUACUUGUUGUUCUCGUUGUAUUUUCCGUUGCAUAUUAUA